rnacentral:tRNA from 1 species
AUCCUAUAAAUAUUUUAGUAUAUUUGACUUCCAAUCAAAAGGGCCACCUAAAGCUGGAUAGGAUA